rnacentral:rRNA from 1 species
UAACUUCGGGAAACCGGAGCUAAUACCGGAUAAUAUUUUGAACCGCAUGGUUCAAAAGUGAAAGACGGUCUUGCUGUCACUUAUAGAUGGAUCCGCGCUGCAUUAGCUAGUUGGUAAGGUAACGGCUUACCAAGGCAACGAUGCAUAGCCGACCUGAGAGGGUGAUCGGCCACACUGGAACUGAGACACGGUCCAGACUCCUACGGGAGGCAGCAGUAGGGAAUCUUCCGCAAUGGGCGAAAGCCUGACGGAGCAACGCCGCGUGAGUGAUGAAGGUCUUCGGAUCGUAAAACUCUGUUAUUAGGGAAGAACAUAUGUGUAAGUAACUGUGCACAUCUUGACGGUACCUAAUCAGAAAGCCACGGCUAACUACGUGCCAGCAGCCGCGGUAAUACGUAGGUGGCAAGCGUUAUCCGGAAUUAUUGGGCGUAAAGCGCGCGUAGGCGGUUUUUUAAGUCUGAUGUGAAAGCCCACGGCUCAACCGUGGAGGGUCAUUGGAAACUGGAAAACUUGAGUGCAGAAGAGGAAAGUGGAAUUCCAUGUGUAGCGGUGAAAUGCGCAGAGAUAUGGAGGAACACCAGUGGCGAAGGCGACUUUCUGGUCUGUAACUGACGCUGAUGUGCGAAAGCGUGGGGAUCAAACAGGAUU